rnacentral:rRNA from 1 species
CUGCGGCCCACCCAUCCGCAUUCCGCAACUCUUUCCCUCCGCCCGCUCGCGCUCACGGCCGCCGCGAUGCCGCCACCGCCGCCGCCGCCGGUCCACCUCCGCCUCCGGGUCUCCAUCACCCCGCCCCACCCGCUCCCUCUCCCCUACUCCCGCCGCUUCUCCUCCGCCACGUCUGGCCUAGCCACCGCCCGCCACCUCUCCCUCCGCCGCGGCAGCCGGCGCCGCGCCCCCGUGUGCGCCGCGCGGAGCGAGGCCGCGGGGGCGGAGGGGUUCGACGAGGAGCUCGGAAGGCUCCUGGAGCUGCUCCCCGGGGAGCUGCGGCAGCGGGUGGAGGACCACCCGGAGCUCCCCGCGCUGGUGGAGGUGGUCAUGGACCUCGGCCGGCCCCCGCUCGCGCGCUUCCCCUCCGGCGACUUCCUCCUCUCCCACCGCCCCAUAUCCUUCGACGACCUCCGCCAGGCCACUGCGAAGGUUGGGGACUUUGGAGGUGACAAUCGCGCUGGGAUUAGCCGCACGCUGCACCGGAUCAGCGCGAUCAGGAACAGGCAGGGAGACAUUGUGGGACUGACCUGCCGCGUCGGGAGGGCUGUGCCCGGAAGUGCUAAUUUGCUUCAGGAUCUGGUGAAGGAUGGUGGGUCGUUGCUGCUCAUCGGCCCACCAGGGGUGGGGAAGACAACUGUCAUAAGAGAAAUUGCACGAAUGCUAGCAGAUGAUUACGACAAGCGGGUGAUGAUUGUUGAUACAUCCAAUGAGAUAGGUGGAGAUGGUGAUAUUCCUCACCCAGGAAUAGGCAAUGCCCGUAGGUUGCAAGUGCCCAACCAAGAAAUGCAGCAUAAGGUGUUGAUAGAAGCUGUGGAGAAUCACAUGCCUCAGGCAAUCGUCAUCGAUGAAAUUGGAACUAAGCUAGAGGCUAUGGCUGCUAGCACCAUUGCACAGCGGGGGAUACAACUUGUUGCCUCCGCUCAUGGUGUAACAAUAGAGAAUCUGACCAUGAAUCCUUCACUAGAUAUGCUUGUAGGAGGAAUACAGAGCGUCACCCUUGGCGAUGAAGAAGCAAGCAGGAGAAGGGUACAAAAAACUGUCCUAGAGCGCAAGGGCCCAUCAACAUUUGCAUAUGCUGUAGAGAUCGUGUCGAAAACUGAGUUACGUGUCCAUCGUAGCCUGGAAGCUACAGUAGAUGCUCUGCUUGCAGGUAGAAUGCCUAAUGUUGAAAUUCGUAAGUUAGGUUCAACCGGCUCGGUGCAGCAGGAAGUUUCUGUGCAGAAGGAUCAAUUUCGUCGUGCUCCUUACGAAAUUGCGUCUCAAUCUGAAGUUGCUUCCUUAAGUAAUGCAAGAACAAGCUUGGACUCUGCAUUUAAUCUUGAUUCUGCCAACGGACAUAUAGAGAACUCUAAUGUGUCUGAGGCAGCCUUCAAUCUCUAUGCUUAUGGGAUAUCCGAGGAAAUUGCCUUGCAAGCGAUUAAACAACUGGAGCUGGAGGAAAUGAUUACUUUGACUUAUAAUAUCAGUGAAGCUGAUGCAGUGAUUGCUUUGCAAUCGAAGCUCAAGAAGAAUUCUCAGAUUCAGGCUGUGUUGAAAUCUGAAGAUAUACCGGUUUUCUUCGCUAAGACGAACUCCCUGGUGCAAAUUACCCGGGCACUUCGCGUCCUUGUCGAUGAUCACGUGGAUGGGUUGAUCGAUGUUGAAGAUAAGGAGGAAGUAAGAUCGUCUGAGGAAACCGAUGCUUUGGAGGAAGCAAGAUUGGCAGUCGAGCAGGUAGUGAUCCCGAAAGGGGAGAGCGUGCAGCUCCUGCCUAGACCAUCGACCAUCAUCUCCUCCCAAGUAAACCUCGUCGAAAGCUUCAACCUCAAGUGGGAAAUCACAGGCCAGGAGCCAAACGCGUGCCUGAGGAUCCUUCCGCAGUUCGCGGACAGGGAAGUAGGUUCUGCCUCGGAGCAAGAGUCCGCACCCGGGCUCACAGAUUCAGAUAGCAGCUCCGAUGGCAUGGACUAUACACAGAGCGGCGUCGCCAGGCUACCCUUCCUCCCGGAGUAGCAUCCUGCCGAGUUCUUUCGCUGUCUGUGUCUCUGUACCUAGAUGUAUAUUCCAUUCCUUUCUUUUUGCAGCCGUUGGUCGUUGUUGAUACCCCGGUAAUUCUCUCUCUCUCAACUUAAAGUAACUCUGUUUAAUUACAGUGGCUGUUAGGCAGAUAGAUAGUGCUGCUUUCCAACUCAUACCGAACAUAACAGGAUCGGGUCCAACUCAGAGCUGCACGACAACGUUUGGCAGGAGAUACAUGCCUGCUGACCCAGCUGGCCUGGCCAAAGACCGGAUCAUGUUGAAAGUGCAUGCAGCGGAUCCUGCGUCUUCCCCGCAAUACGCCACAUCGAAGAGACCAGUGACGCAGCACGCAGGGCUGCUUGCCGGUGUGAGGACUGAGGACGGAGUUCAGCGAUGGAUGGACUUGCAUGCAUAUGUGUUGAGCCUCGUGACCCCGGCCGUGACAUACGCUGUUCUCUGACCGUCAUCACAGAGCGCAACAGCUGGGUCAGCAUGCAUGUAUCUCUCGUCGGCUCGCGAGUCGCGACAGCGCGGCGAAGCAAAAC